AAAUUGAAGAGUUUGAUCAUGGCUCAGAUUGAACGCUGGCGGCAGGCCUAACACAUGCAAGUCGAACGGUAACAGGAAGCAGCUUGCUGCUUCGCUGACGAGUGGCGGACGGGUGAGUAAUGUCUGGGAAACUGCCUGAUGGAGGGGGAUAACUACUGGAAACGGUAGCUAAUACCGCAUAAUGUCGCAAGACCAAAGAGGGGGACCUUCGGGCCUCUUGCCAUCGGAUGUGCCCAGAUGGGAUUAGCUUGUUGGUGGGGUAACGGCUCACCAAGGCGACGAUCCCUAGCUGGUCUGAGAGGAUGACCAGCCACACUGGAACUGAGACACGGUCCAGACUCCUACGGGAGGCAGCAGUGGGGAAUAUUGCACAAUGGGCGCAAGCCUGAUGCAGCCAUGCCGCGUGUAUGAAGAAGGCCUUCGGGUUGUAAAGUACUUUCAGCGGGGAGGAAGGGAGUAAAGUUAAUACCUUUGCUCAUUGACGUUAUCCGCAGAAGAAGCACCGGCUAACUCCGUGCCAGCAGCCGCGGUAAUACGGAGGGUGCAAGCGUUAAUCGGAAUUACUGGGCGUAAAGCGCACGCAGGCGGUUUGUUAAGUCAGAUGUGAAAUCCCCGGGCUCAACCUGGGAACUGCAUCUGAUACUGGCAAGCUUGAGUCUCGUAGAGGGGGGUAGAAUUCCAGGUGUAGCGGUGAAAUGCGUAGAGAUCUGGAGGAAUACCGGUGGCGAAGGCGGCCCCCUGGACGAAGACUGACGCUCAGGUGCGAAAGCGUGGGGAGCAAACAGGAUUAGAUACCCUGGUAGUCCACGCCGUAAACGAUGUCGACUUGGAGGUUGUGCCCUUGAGGCGUGGCUUCCGGAGCUAACGCGUUAAGUCGACCGCCUGGGGAGUACGGCCGCAAGGUUAAAACUCAAAUGAAUUGACGGGGGCCCGCACAAGCGGUGGAGCAUGUGGUUUAAUUCGAUGCAACGCGAAGAACCUUACCUGGUCUUGACAUCCACGGAAGUUUUCAGAGAUGAGAAUGUGCCUUCGGGAACCGUGAGACAGGUGCUGCAUGGCUGUCGUCAGCUCGUGUUGUGAAAUGUUGGGUUAAGUCCCGCAACGAGCGCAACCCUUAUCCUUUGUUGCCAGCGGUCCGGCCGGGAACUCAAAGGAGACUGCCAGUGAUAAACUGGAGGAAGGUGGGGACGACGUCAAGUCAUCAUGGCCCUUACGACCAGGGCUACACACGUGCUACAAUGGCGCAUACAAAGAGAAGCGACCUCGCGAGAGCAAGCGGACCUCAUAAAGUGCGUCGUAGUCCGGAUUGGAGUCUGCAACUCGACUCCAUGAAGUCGGAAUCGCUAGUAAUCGUGGAUCAGAAUGCCACGGUGAAUACGUUCCCGGGCCUUGUACACACCGCCCGUCACACCAUGGGAGUGGGUUGCAAAAGAAGUAGGUAGCUUAACCUUCGGGAGGGCGCUUACCACUUUGUGAUUCAUGACUGGGGUGAAGUCGUAACAAGGUAACCGUAGGGGAACCUGCGGUUGGAUCACCUCCUUACCUUAAAGAAGC
rnacentral:rRNA from 2 species